GGAAGUACAACUCAGUGGCAGAGCGUGUGCUUAGCAUGUACAAGGUCCUGGGUUUAAUCCCCAGUACCUCCA
rnacentral:tRNA from 1 species